rnacentral:rRNA from 1 species
GAGUUUGAUCGUGGCUCAGAUUGAACGCUGGCGGCAGGCCUAACACAUGCAAGUCGAACGGUAACAGGAAACAGCUUGCUGUUUCGCUGACGAGUGGCGGACGGGUGAGUAAUGUCUGGGAAACUGCCUGAUGGAGGGGGAUAACUACUGGAAACGGUAGCUAAUACCGCAUAACGUCGCAAGACCAAAGAGGGGGACCUUCGGGCCUCUUGCCAUCAGAUGUGCCCAGAUGGGAUUAGCUAGUAGGUGGGGUAACGGCUCACCUAGGCGACGAUCCCUAGCUGGUCUGAGAGGAUGACCAGCCACACUGGAACUGAGACACGGUCCAGACUCCUACGGGAGGCAGCAGUGGGGAAUAUUGCACAAUGGGCGCAAGCCUGAUGCAGCCAUGCCGCGUGUAUGAAGAAGGCCUUCGGGUUGUAAAGUACUUUCAGCGGGGAGGAAGGGAGUAAAGUUAAUACCUUUGCUCAUUGACGUUACCCGCAGAAGAAGCACCGGCUAACUCCGUGCCAGCAGCCGCGGUAAUACGGAGGGUGCAAGCGUUAAUCGGAAUUACUGGGCGUAAAGCGCACGCAGGCGGUUUGUUAAGUCAGAUGUGAAAUCCCCGGGCUCAACCUGGGAACUGCAUCUGAUACUGGCAAGCUUGAGUCUCGUAGAGGGGGGUAGAAUUCCAGGUGUAGCGGUGAAAUGCGUAGAGAUCUGGAGGAAUACCGGUGGCGAAGGCGGCCCCCUGGACGAAGACUGACGCUCAGGUGCGAAAGCGUGGGGAGCAAACAGGAUUAGAUACCCUGGUAGUCCACGCCGUAAACGAUGUCGACUUGGAGGUUGUGCCCUUGAGGCGUGGCUUCCGGAGCUAACGCGUUAAGUCGACCGCCUGGGGAGUACGGCCGCAAGGUUAAAACUCAAAUGAAUUGACGGGGGCCCGCACAAGCGGUGGAGCAUGUGGUUUAAUUCGAUGCAACGCGAAGAACCUUACCUGGUCUUGACAUCCACGGAAGUUUUCAGAGAUGAGAAUGUGCCUUCGGGAACCGUGAGACAGGUGCUGCAUGGCUGUCGUCAGCUCGUGUUGUGAAAUGUUGGGUUAAGUCCCGCAACGAGCGCAACCCUUAUCCUUUGUUGCCAGCGGUCCGGCCGGGAACUCAAAGGAGACUGCCAGUGAUAAACUGGAGGAAGGUGGGGAUGACGUCAAGUCAUCAUGCCCCUUACGACCAGGGCUACACACGUGCUACAAUGGCGCAUACAAAGAGAAGCGACCUCGCGAGAGCAAGCGGACCUCAUAAAGUGCGUCGUAGUCCGGAUUGGAGUCUGCAACUCGACUCCAUGAAGUCGGAAUCGCUAGUAAUCGUGGAUCAGAAUGCCACGGUGAAUACGUUCCCGGGCCUUGUACACACCGCCCGUCACACCAUGGGAGUGGGUUGCAAAAGAAGUAGGUAGCUUAACCUUCGGGAGGGCGCUUACCACUUUGUGAUUCAUGACUGGGGUGAAGUCGAAACAAGGUAACCGUAGGGGAACCUGCGGUUG